rnacentral:rRNA from 1 species
UACGGGGGGGGGCAAGCGUUGUUCGGAAUUACUGGGCGUAAAGAGCGUGUAGGCGGUCCGGUAAGUCAGCUGUGAAAGUCAAGGGCUCAACCCUUGAAAGCCGGUUGAUACUGUCGGGCUAGAGUCCGGAAGAGGCGAGUGGAAUUCCCGGUGUAGCGGUGAAAUGCGCAGAUAUCGGGAGGAACACCAAUGGCGAAGGCAGCUCGCUGGGACGGUACUGACGGCUGAGACGGCGAAAGCGUGGGGAGCAAACAGG